rnacentral:rRNA from 1 species
GACGAACGCUGGCGGCGUGCCUAAUACAUGCAAGUAGAACGCUGAAGGAGGAGCUUGCUUCUCCGGAUGAGUUGCGAACGGGUGAGUAACGCGUAGGUAACCUGCCUGGUAGCGGGGGAUAACUAUUGGAAACGAUAGCUAAUACCGCAUAAGAGUAGAUGUCGCAUGACAUUUGCUUAAAAGGUGCAACUGCACCACUACCAGAUGGACCUGCGUUGUAUUAGCUAGUUGGUGAGGUAACGGCUCACCAAGGCAACGAUACAUAGCCGACCUGAGAGGGGGAUCGGCCACACUGGGACUGAGACCCCGGCCAGACUCCUUCGGGGAGCAGCAGUAGGGAAUCUUCGGCAAAGGACGGAAGUCUGACCGAGCAAAGCCGCGUGAGUGAAGAAGGUUUUCGGAUCGGAAAGCUCUGUUGUAAGGGAAGAAAGAGUGUGAGAGUGGAAAGUUCACACUGUGACGGUAUCUUACCAGAAAGGGACGGCUAACUACGUG